AUAAGUGUUUUCCCCAGAACACCUCUGACUCCCCUAAAGUAUGAUCCGGUAACACCGUUAGCAUCCAUUAGUCUUGUGAUCUUUUGAUUUGAGGAUUUAGGGCAAGGACGCUGGCCAUUAUAUCUCCUGUUUAGACAUUGGAGAAACCAAGGCUUCCAUUCAUAAUUAAGACUGGUCAAUGGGGCCUUCACAGUACUUACCAAGCAGCCCUUGGUUAAGGUCCCUGUCAACUCAAGCACUGUCCAGACACCAGCUUAUUUCCUGUUGCCCUCUGCUAGCAAGAACAACGUGAGGUCUCCCAGUGACCGGUAUAUCGUGCCACCUCUGAUUGCGAUGGUGCAGCCUGAAUGAACCUCCCUGUGAUUCAGAAGCCGAUGGGCCCACGUGUCAUUACAGAAAGUAUAAGUAGAGCACAGAAGUUUUGACAUGGAUCGUAACCACAGAGUCAGAGGGAUUCUCCAAAGACCCAUCUCGUGGAAAUCAGUUGGCCAAGAGGAUCUGGACCCGCUGAUGCCCCUCCAGGCCAGUAUCCGUCAGAGUGCCGUUCUGGUGGCUGUCCCUGUCCGCAUCCAGCCAGUGGGUCCAGCUUAAAGACAGCCCUCUUCCGCGAAGCGUUUCCCUAAUCCUCCAGUUGGGACUCAUUACUUUCCACUUGUCUCUGAACCACUUUGGGCCUGUGUUCUACUGCGUUUCAUUCUGCUUCAUAGGGACUGCCUCCAGAGACGGUAUUCUCACAGCUGAGCCCGACGUAACUUGCUCUGAAUUACAGCAGAAACAAGCUCACGCUGUCAAUUAAUAGUCUCUUGCAUCCGCCUGAGUGUCUGUGUCCCUCCGUUGGGGAGCUCGCUGGGGCCUGCAUGCCUACGUGAGCAGACAGCUGCUUUUCUCACGCUCUCGCCUUUCAUCAUGGCAAGAAACUACGUGAAAGUAACUUGAGCUCUGCUGAGGAUCAGAAAAGUCAAGGAGCCUGCUCCAAGUGACCCAGCGGCAUAUGGCGGAGUCCUGAUCCAUCGGUAGCUAGAUCUACCUAUCUGUUCACUCUUGGGGUAUUUUUGGAGUGCCUGCUGUGUGUUAUUCACUGUUCCUGGUACCGAGGACAUAAUAGUGAGCCGGACAGGCCCAAUACUGGUUCCCUCGCCGAGCUUCCAGCCUCCCGAGGAUGACUGACAAAUAAGCAAUUGUAAUUGUGUCACAACACAUGAGUGUGCUGUGGUAAAGGCAUUCCGGGCAGGAAAACAGCCUCAGCUAAGGCCCAGGGACAAAAAAGAACAAGGCGCUUUUGGGGAACCGAAAGGAAUUCACUAAAGGGUCAAGCGUCAUAUAAUAUUAAAGGCACAGGUGGGGGACUGCCGGCUCUUGGGGCGAGGGGCCACGAUCUCUGCUGGGGGAGAGUUAGGUUGAGUUGGAGUUUAUUUGACAAAUCGUGCUGUUGGACUCUGACGUUUUCCAAAGCAGUAAUAACAGCUUCUAAGGAUAAUUAUGUUUCAUUAUUUCUCUGAUUACAAUUGUUCAAAAAAACAACGGGACUCAAGGUUUCUCCAGGGUCGUUCUACGUCCCUAUGCCUGAACCGGACAGAGCCGCAGCUCUGACUGGGUCACAGCACAUCGUGUUCACCAAAGAAGUUACCAAGACAACACGCAGCAUGUGUAUGUGGUCCCAGUGCCAGGUCCUGAUGUCCCAGAGGGGCAAAGCAUCUCUCUUAGUAACGUAGGUUGACCUUGACCACCUAACACUCUGUGCCAGACUGUGUUCUCGAGGUAAACACGUACUGACUCAUCAAGUCUGUGUGACAACACUAUGAAGUAGGAGCAAUUACUCGUCAUGCUUCAGAUGAGAAAUCGAGGCCUAGAGAGCUGAAAUAAACAAGACACCGGUGCUCUCACACAACGAGUCGACGCCAGAGCCCAUCUGUAACCCCGGGCAGCGCGGCCCCGGAGUCUGCGCACUGCCUCACAGUCCUGGUCCCUCCCCUCCCUCCAACUGUUGGAAGUAUAUCCCAAUUGCCAGAAGUUCACGAAAUCAUCUCUUUAAGUUAUGGAAGAUAAGCCAUAGUUCCAUCUUUUGGCAGUUCGUGAAUUAAAACCAUUUAUGGACAACCUCGUGGAUAAAUCUACCACCUCCCACACUCGCCUGAGCGCUGUUGACUCAUUACCUGUACGCCUUUGCCAAACGCCCAGUUCCCGUAAAGCUCGUUGCUGUCAGCGGAGCAGUGAGCAAAGGCAUCACGCUUGAACCUUGCCUCCCCGGAAGCAGAGUCUCUGCCUGUAGGUGGGUGCGUUUUCACUCCAGCCUGAACCCUCGCUCCUCCUCGGGGAGCUUCAGAAAGGCUCGGCCUAAGGUGGGUGAUGCUGACUCUGGGGCAGCCUUUUGUUCCCAGCGAAGCAACUUAGGGUUCAUUACAUGAUCAUGUCCCACCCUAGGAGAUUCUAAUUUAGUGGCUCGGGGAAGAAAACAUUCCAUGGGUAAUUAUGAUAUAUGGCUGAAACUGAGAACCUCUAGAUCUGGUCAGUCAGAUGAGGGUCAAUCUGCCUGGUUAAUGGCGAAAGGUAAGGCACCAAUAAUAAUGGCAUGAUGAUGAUGAUAAUGAUAAAUUAGCUGAAUGAGGGAAUAAAGUAAUGCUUCUACAAAGCCUUGGGAUUUAAAUGCUCCCAGACUAUUUGGCUAUUUCAUUAGAAGCAAACAUUGUUUGCUGCCUUUGCUGGGCCAAAGUCUUGUCAACUAUUUUGCUUCUUCAACUGCAUCUCUUAUGGACCUGGGACCUCUUUGUCCCUUACCCAUAAUCGACUUGCAGCUUUGUGCCUCUUGGUCCAUCUUCCCUCCAGGUUUUAUUCAGAUUGCUCCCUAGUGUUCCUUCUUUCUAUAUUUAUGCAGUGCUUAGUUUGACUGUUUACCUUGGGGUUAGUGGUUACUCCCCAGUUCUGCUUUUAUCUGUAUAAGGAAUUUCUGCCUCUCUUGUUACAUUAGCCUAAGUCAGUCUGAUGCCCCGGAGAUGCUGUGACCAUCAUUUUCAUCAUUGCCAACAGGAAUCACUGGUAGAGAAGUUAAGGCAGGGAAGAAGUUUAGUUUGGAUGCAGAGAACAACUUUGUGUGAAAGAGCAAGACAGACAUGUAAGCCAUCUUUAUAUUUCCGAAAUUCAUAAAAAUAAGAUAGACAACGUCUUUUGAGGACACUGUGGAUAUUUUGCUGAAAAAUGAGAGAAAGCACUAAGGACCAUUCCAAGUUCCUUGUUAUUACAUUAUUAUAAUGAUUAGCAUUGUUACUGUGAAAAUGAUACAAUUUUUUUUCCUGUUGGGUGCUGAUUUAAAUCUUGAUGAAUCUUUCCGUGUAUUGUGUGUAAAUCUUGAGCAUUAUUCACGUCUGAUCGUGUCUCAAUUCCCUCCUGCCCUCCCUUCUUCCUUCCAUGCAUAUAUAUUUCCAGGAAAUACAAGAUUUAAAAAAAAAAAUUACCACCAACACAAAAACAAAAAACCCCUUGGCUUUAAUACAUAUCUGGUUCAACUGGAAAUAUGAAGAACUAUAAUUUCAUUGCUGUGGCCUAAUUUUUUUCCAUGCCAUUUAAAACCAACAAGUUAUAAUUUUGAAAAAUAUCAGAAGGGCAAAGUGCAUCAGCUCUUUCAUCUUACGUUAAUAGGAAGAAGCCCCACACGACAUCCUGAUAGCAGGACCUCUGUGAUUCCAGCAUUUCUUCAUUAAGGGAGAGAUAUUUACAUAGCAUGGCGGCGACCAAAUCAUGCUUUAGGACGAGUGCUACAGCAAUGGGCCCUGAAGGAGAAGCGCCCAGUCGCUAUUUUGCUUGUACUGCCCCAAAUGCAAAGGGCUGCAGUUGAAGAAGCAAAAUAGUCUGAAGUAAAAUUAUACCAUAAUGGCUUGUAAUUAACAGCAGAAUCCAUGUAUGAAAUCUAAUGUAAUAUAAGCCCUCAAAUAAGUGUUAACUUUGAGAUGCAAGAGAGGGGGUUUGUCUUUUUAAAACACAUCCUGGCCAUCAUUUAACAGGCCAUGUUAGAGGCACCCAUCACACUGUUGCUCUAUUACUACCGGGAAUCUUCGAGUCUGCUUACUCCCGGUCAGGUUCCGAAAGGUGUCUCCACUGUUGGGACAGUCCUGUUGUGGAUGACAGGCUCAAACGUUACUCGAUGCAUUAGAAUGUUAGGCUGAAAUUGCACAGCGUGUCUGGGACUCCAAAACUAAACCUCGUUUGCAUUUGGGAUGGCUGUAAAAUAAAUAUGAAAGCUUAAAAUUCAUAAUCAGAACUCUCUAAGUCCUUUAAACCUUUUUCGUGCUUGAAGCUACUGAAGUACCUUUGGGAAAAUAUAGCUCCUUAAUUUUCGGCAUUUAUAAGUAACCUCAGUUCGGUCGUACAAUAUGUACACUGCUCCCAACUUUAGUCAAUGCAAAAAUCAGUGUUCUCUGAAGGAUGAACACAUGUCAUGAACUCAAAUAUUAGUUUAAAGUCACUAAUAACAACCAGGAAGAGAAAAGGAGUUACGUGUCACGAAAUCUGUGACUCUCUGAGAUUUCACAGGUCAACGGGUUGGAUUUACCUGUUCUUCAUACCAGCUGUGCCCUAAGGACAGUUGUGACUAUUACUUCAGUAGCUAGGAAAUAGGUGUGUUCGAGAGCCAUUAUAUAGAGAGAAAAGCAUGAAAAUAUGCAAUAAAAGUACAAAUCAUCUUAAAGGACUAUUAUGAUGUGGGAAAUGAUUAUUUAAGAUAUACACACAUUUUCAGGUAUUAUUAAAGUGUAAUUUCCCCCCAGAUUUUUGAAACAUCCCCUAAGCACCAAAAGUUUAAAAUAGAAUUUUUGAGUGUUCAUUUUGUUGAACUUUUUGAUAGUCAUCUUUUAAAAUUGAUUUACAUACUCCUGUGUAUUGCAUGUAAUUUAACAUUUUAAUGAACCAGUUUGAGUGUCAGAAUUGAGGGGCUGAGAGUUAAGCGGUAGAAUCAGAAACAAGGAAACAGUAUCUUCUCGCUCCCCAAGCCCUGCCCUUUGUCCUCUGUACCGUGCAUCAGGCUUUCUAGGGUGGGCAUGAAGAUACUGUCUUUGAUCCCCUCCCCUGCCAAUCGACUCUGCUAUGUGGACGCCUCUGCAAAUGCCUGCUCUUUUUCUUCACCAAUAACUCUACCGGAGUUCAGGUCAUUAAUAUCUCUUGGCUAGAUGGUAGAAAGAGUUGUUUGGUUUUAUUUUUUUUUAACUGGUGUCCCUACCUUUAUGUAGUCUGACCACCCUGAAGUCCAUUCUCCAUUUUAUAUCCAUUUUACAGCCAGAGUGAUCCUUCUAAAAAUGCACAUCCAUCGGAUCUAACCAUUCCUCUGCUUGAAAACCCUUCAAUGGCUUCCUAUUGCUCUUAGAAUAAAACCCAAUUCCUUAAUGUAGCCUCCUUACAGACCCUUCAUGAUUUAAUCUCUCGGCCCUUUUUUUUUGGGGGGGGGGUCUGCUUGAUCUAGCUGUGUCUGAUAGAUUGUUAAAAUCUCCCACUCAGAUGGUAGGCUUGUCAAUUUCUCUUUGUAAUUCUGAUGGUUUUGCUUUCCGUAAUUGAAAGCAAUGUUAUUAGGUACCUUCAGCUUCUCGGUAGUGACCCUCUUUAUUUCUAUUAAUACAUGUGGCGUAAAUGACUAUUUUUGUCUGAUAUUAAUAAUGCUUCAUCAGCUUUUUGUUAGUAUUUUGAUAAUUUAUCUUUUUUUAUCCCCUUAUGUCCAGUAUUUCUGGGGUUUAGUUUUGUGUCUUUUGCUAGCAUUAUAUACCUGAAUAUUACUUUAAAUGGAUCUGAUAAUCUUUCUUUUAAUAAAUGAUUUAAAUCUA